AGUGAACGCUGGCGGCAGGCCUAACACAUGCAAGUCGAGCGGCAGCGCGUCCGACCACCCUCGGGUGGUCGGAUGGCGGCGAGCGGCGGACGGGUGAGGAAUGCAUCGGAAUCUGCCUCGUUGUGGGGAUAACGUAGGAAACUUACGCUAAUACCGCAUACGACCUACGGGUGAAAGUGGGGGACCUUCGGGCCUCACGCGAUGAGAUGAGCCGAUGCCGGAUUAGCUAGUGCGGGUAAGGCCACCAGGCGACGAUCCGUAGCUGGUCUGAGAGGAUGAUCAGCCACACUGGAACUGAGACACGGUCCAGACUCCUACGGGAGGCAGCAGUGGGGAAUUUUGGACAAUGGGCGCAAGCCUGAUCCAGCCAUGCCGCGUGAGUGAAG
rnacentral:rRNA from 1 species